rnacentral:rRNA from 1 species
UACGAAGGUGGCAAGCGUUGUUCGGAUUUACUGGGCGUAAAGGGAGCGUAGGUGGUGGGGUAAGCCCCGCGGGAAAGCUCCAGGCUUAACCUGGAAAGGUCGCGGGGGACUGCUCCGCUCGAGGACGGGAGAGGAGCGCGGAAUUCCCGGUGUAGCGGUGAAAUGCGUAGAGAUCGGGAGGAAGGCCGGUGGCGAAGGCGGCGCUCUGGAACGGCCCUGACACUGAGGCUCGAAAGCGUGGGGGAGCAAACAGGAU